UCUUCAUUUCUUCGGAUAUUGAUGAUGACGGUGAUUUUUCCGAUCCGUUUGAUAUUGCUAGAACAAAGCACGCUUCUAUUAAUCGACUGAAACGCUGGAGACAAGCAGCGCUUGUACUAAAUGCUUCCCGUCGAUUUCGUUAUACCUUGGAUUUGAAGAAAGAAGAAGAGAAGAAACUAAUACUGAGAAAGAUUAGAGCGCAUGCACAAGCCAUUAGAGCAACAUAUCUUUUCAAAGCAGCUGGGGGGCAGGGGCAGAGGCAGGGACAAGGGCAAGGACAAUUGAAUGAAACUACAAAACCUCUUCAAACCUCUACUGGUGAAUUUCCAAUUGGACCGGAGCAACUAGCUUCCAUUUCAAGGGAGCAUGAUAUUGCCUCAUUGCAGCAAUAUGGAGGGGUUGCAGGGGUAUCAAAUUUAUUGAAAACUGAUUUAGAGAAGGGAGUUGAUGGUGAUGAUGCUGACUUACUAAGACGGAGGAAUGCAUUUGGUUCCAACAAUUACCCUCGAAAGAAAGGAAGAAGUUUUCUGGUAACUUCUAUUGUUCUUG